AUGUGUAUAUAUAUAUAUAUGUGUGUGUGUGUGUGUGUGUGUGUGUAUAUAUAUAUAUACAUAUAUAUGUAUAUAUGUAUAUAUAUAUAUAUA
rnacentral:miRNA from 1 species